rnacentral:rRNA from 1 species
UGGAAUAUGUGUUUUUUUGGAGAGCCCUCUUUUAUAGUGAAUUUUGUUGGCGCAUGUAUGAUUGUUUAGKUUUUACUUUUUUGGUAAUGCUUUGUGUUUUAUACAUUUAAAACAGAUAUAUAUUUGGCUUAUGGAUUUAUUUUUCAUGUGUUACUAUUGUUAAUUUUCUUUGGAUUAAUUUUUAAUUUUUUUGUUGAAAUUGGAAAARAAARUAAUUUUUUCUUAAUGUAAUAAUGAAUUUAAUAAAUAAAGUGGUACAAACCAUCCAUCAAUGGC